CCUACGGGAGGCAGCAGUGAGGAAUAUUGGUCAAUGGGCGCGAGCCUGAACCAGCCAAGUAGCGUGAAGGAUGACUGCCCUACGGGUUGUAAAUUUCUUUUAUCAAGGAAUAAAGUGAGGCACGUGUGCCUUUUUGUAUGUACUUUAUGAAUAAGGGUCGGCUAACUCCGUUCCAGCAGCCGCGGUAAUACGGAGGAUCCGAUCGUUAUCCGGAUUUAUUGGGUUUAAAGGGAGCGGAGAUGGGUUGUUAAGUCAGUUGUGAAAGUUUGCGGCUCAACCGUAAAAUUGCAAUUGAUACUGGCCGUCUUGAGUACAGUUGAGGUAGGCGGAAUUCGUGGUGUAGCGGUGAAAUGCUUAGAGAUCACGAAGAACUCCGAUUGCGAAGGCAGCUUACUAAACUGCCACUGACAUUGAUGCUCGAAAGUGUGGGUAUCAAACAGGAUUAGAUACCCGGGUAGUC
rnacentral:rRNA from 1 species